UUGGGAAAGCGAGCGGCGGAUGGGUGAGUAACACGUGGGGAACCUGCCCCUAAGUCUGGGAUACCAUUUGGAAACAGGUGCUAAUACCGGAUAAUAAAGCAGAUCGCAUGAUCAGCUUUUGAAAGGCGGCGUAAGCUGUCGCUAAGGGAUGGCCCCGCGGUGCAUUAGCUAGUUGGUAAGGUAACGGCUUACCAAGGCGACGAUGCAUAGCCGAGUUGAGAGACUGAUCGGCCACAUUGGGACUGAGACACGGCCCAAACUCCUACGGGAGGCAGCAGUAGGGAAUCUUCCACAAUGGACGCAAGUCUGAUGGAGCAACGCCGCGUGAGUGAAGAAGGUUUUCGGAUCGUAAAGCUCUGUUGUUGGUGAAGAAGGAUAGAGGUAGUAACUGGCCUUUAUUUGACGGUAAUCAACCAGAAAGUCACGGCUAACUACGUGCCAGCAGCCGCGGUAAUACGUAGGUGGCAAGCGUUGUCCGGAUUUAUUGGGCGUAAAGCGAGCGCAGGCGGAAAAAUAAGUCUAAUGUGAAAGCCCUCGGCUUAACCGAGGAACUGCAUCGGAAACUGUUUUUCUUGAGUGCAGAAGAGGAGAGUGGAACUCCAUGUGUAGCGGUGGAAUGCGUAGAUAUAUGGAAGAACACCAGUGGCGAAGGCGGCUCUCUGGUCUGCAACUGACGCUGAGGCUCGAAAGCAUGGGUAGCGAACAGGAUUAGAUACCCUGGUAGUCCAUGCCGUAAACGAUGAGUGCUAAGUGUUGGGAGGUUUCCGCCUCUCAGUGCUGCAGCUAACGCAUUAAGCACUCCGCCUGGGGAGUACGACCGCAAGGUUGAAACUC
rnacentral:rRNA from 1 species